AUUGAACGCUGGCGGCAGGCCUAACACAUGCAAGUCGAACGAGUGGCGGACGGGUGAGUAAUGUCUGGGAAACUGCCUGAUGGAGGGGGAUAACUACUGGAAACGGUAGCUAAUACCGCAUACCAUCAGAUGUGCCCAGAUGGGAUUAGCUUGUUGGUGGGGUAACGGCUCACCAAGGCGACGAUCCCUAGCUGGUCUGAGAGGAUGACAAGCAAGACUGGAACUGAGACACGGUCAAGAGUCCUACGGGAGGCAGCAGUGGGGAAUAGUGCACAAUGGGGGAAAGCCUGAUGGAGACAUGCCGCGUGUAGGAAGAAGGACAUAGGGUUGGAAAGUACUUUAAGCGGGGAGGGGUUACCCGCAGAAGAAGCACCGGCUAACUCCGUGCCAGCAGCCGCGGUAAUUC
rnacentral:rRNA from 1 species